CACGGCUAGAGAGACGGCGUGUGUGACAGCAGAUGUAAGUGAUCUGGGACAAUACCUGCGAUAUACCUGAACCUAGACAAUCUGCCCGCGUUUCGAAAACAAAGACAGUGACGUCAUUUGGACGGAGUAACCAGUUUCAGAGCGUACGACUGUGUUAAGUGCAGGUGCUAUAUUAGGAAUUGCGACCGCUAUCUUACUGGCUAUUCUUAUACCCGUGGCUUGGAUAAUUUACAAGAGAAAAAUAAAAAAGAAAGAAACUGAAGAUGGGCAGAACACAGAAACAACAUAAAAAAAUAAAAAAAUGUAGCCGACAACGCUGGCUUUGUCCUUAACUAGUGACCGACUAUGGAGUACAAAAUGGCACCAUCUCCAGAAGUGCACAGUGUUUAUCGUUUUGUUUAAAACUAUAUGGGUGAAUAUAAAAAAUAGAUCUUUUGUGUAACAAAAAGGUUGAAAGUUCAUACAGGUUCAAAUAGCACAUCGGGCAUGCCAUAACAUUAUAUAUGAUGAAAAACCACAGCAAUUAUGGAGAUAUACAAAUUUAAGAAAAUACAAAAAGGAUAAAACAUCCAUCAUCCAUGAACUCCAGAAUGUUUGUAUUUCAUUUCUGUUAGAAAGGUACUGUUUGUUUCAAUACAAAAGCUAUGUUUAUGCCUUUAAAGUAAACAACAUAUGGAUCAAAAUUAAAAACAAACAACAUCCGUGCAGUUCUGCUUAAUUACAUCUCAUACAGAUCUCCCAUUCACACAUCAAAGAAAUUAACAACAAUAGCAUUCAAUGUCUCCUGUCAGGCAUAUUAUAACACGGACCAACAUUACGUAUGUGGUGCUACAAGCCUGACCUUCCGCAAACAAAC
rnacentral:misc_RNA from 1 species